AGCAGCCGCGGUAAUUCCAGCUCCAAUAGCGUAUAUUAAAGUUGCUGCAGUUAAAAAGCUCGUAGUUGAAUUUCGGGACUAAUAUGUCGGUCGUGCCUCGGUACGUACUGGCUUAUUGGUUUCUCCUUUCUGAAGAACCAUGAUGUCAUUUAUUUGGUGUCGUGGGGAAUCAGGACUGUUACUUUGAAAAAAUUAGAGUGUUUAAAGCAGGCUCACGCUUGAAUACAUUAGCAUGGAAUAAUGAAAUAGGACGUUUGAUUCUAUUUUGUUGGUUUCUAGGAUCGACGUAAUGAUUAAUAGGGAUAGUUGGGGGCAUUAGUAUUCAAUUGUCAGAGGUGAAAUUCUUGGAUUUAUUGAAGACUAACUACUGCGAAAGCAUUUGCCAAGGAUGUUUUCAUUAAUCAAGAACGAAAGUUAGGGGAUCGAAGACGAUCAGAUACCGUCGUAGUCUUAACCAUAAACUAUGCCGACUAGGGAUCGGAUGAUGUUAAUUUUUUAAUGACUCAAUCGGCGCCUUACG
rnacentral:rRNA from 1 species